AUAAUAAUUAGUCUUUUAAUUGGAGGCUGGUAUGAAAGAUUGAACGAGAUAAAUACUGUCUCAUUAAAAUUAAAGUUUAACUUAAUAUUUAAGUAAAAAAGCUUAAAUGUUAUUAUAGGACGAGAAGACCCCAUAGAGUUUAAUAUUUAAUUAUAAUUUUUUAAAAAAUUAUAUUAAAUUAUUAUUAAAUAUUUUGUUGGGGCGACAGGAAAAUUUAAUAAACUUUUUUAAUAUUAUUUACAAAAAUUAUUGGAAUUUUGAUCCUAAAUUUUAGAUUAUUAGAUUAAGUUACCUUGGGGAUAACAGCGUUAUUUUUUUUAGAAGUUCAUAUUAAUAAAAAAGAUUGC
rnacentral:rRNA from 1 species